rnacentral:lncRNA from 1 species
CACCAUGUUGGCCAGGCUGGUCUCGAACUGACCUCAAGUGAUCUGGCCACCUCGGCCUCCCAAAGUGCUGGGAUUACAGGUGUGAGCCACUGCGCCUGGCUUAAGUUUUUCAUGAGUAGCUUUGCAUAGUAAGACAUUACAAUAUAGCUUUUUUUUUCCUUUUUGAGACAGUAGCUUGCUCUGUUACCCAGGCUGGGUUGCAGUGGCCUCAAGCGAUCCUCCUGCCUUGACUUCCCAGAGUGUUGGGAUUACAGGUGUGAGCCACUGCACCCAGCAGUAUAUAGCCUUUCUUUACUACUUUUUUUUUUAAAGACAGUGUCCUGCUCUGUCACCCACACUGGAGUGUAGUGGCAUGAUCACAGCUCACUGCAGCCUUGACUGGGCUCAGGUGAUUCUCCCACCUCAGUUUCCUGAGUAGCUGGGACUACAGGCACAUGACACCAUUCCUGGCUAAUGAUUUUUUUUUUUUUUUAAGAGAGAGGGUCUCACUACAUUGCCCAGGCCAGUCCAACUGGGUUCAAGUGAUCCUGUCAUCUCAUCCUCCCAAAGUGCUGGGAUUGCAGGUGUGAGUCACUGCACCUAGUCCUUUAACUUUUAAAAUUUUAUUUUAAAAUAAUUUCACAGAUAAAAGGUACAUUUUACUGAAAUUAUGUGUACAUUGUCUCCCCUGGUCUCCCUCUCUCUUCAAAAUUUAGAUAUUCCCCCAAGUCAGGGAGUGAACACUGCAUCCAGUCCAUGGACCCCAUGCAGAUCUCGCCAGCUGUCCCAACAGUGUCUUGUCCUUUCCUGGUCCAGGGUCCCUGUCAAGAGGUGUGUGUUGCCUUUAGUUUUCUCCUGCUGUCUGCAUCAGUCCUCUCGGCAUCUGUGUUUCACGUCCUAGUGGGGUGAAGCCCGCAGACCUCUCUGUAGUACACCCUCAGCCUGGGUCUGGAUGAUGGUGACCAGACCUAGGCAGCACUUUUGUGGCAGGAAAGCCACAGAAAUGCUGCGCUCUUCUCUGUAUGUCACUCCAGGGGCAUACAGUUUGUUAACCUUGGUGACCCAGGCAGAUUGCUCCACUGUCAGUCAGGUCACACUAUGUCUCUUGGUAAUCAAGGAGUAUUUUGUGGGGAGGCAUCCUCAAAGCACAUGACCAGCCUGUUCCUCUUCAGACCUCUACCCUCCAUCCUUGUCCUUCACUUACAACUUCCAUGUGAAUCCACCACCACUGCCCAUCCAUGAGCUUCCAUGUCCAAUGUUCCUUCUGCCGACACCCUGCCCCUGCAUGGAGGCGCCUUCCCUCCCCAUUGAUGCAGUGUGUCAGCUAAUGGACUCCUAGUCUGGGUCGCAAUCCAUUGCAACCAUUUAUUUGAUGUUCAAAUUACUUCAAAUUUGGACAUCAGAAGACCUGUCAAGGUGACUCUUGUGUCCUUUUGGCAUGUUUCCAUCUUAAAAUUGUAAAAAAUUGUGGUAAGACACAUAGAAAAUUUACCAUCCUAUUAACCACUUUUUUUUUUUUUUUUUUAAAACAGCAUCCCAAUCUGUCAUCCAGGCUGGAGUGCAGCAGUGUGAUCCUGGCUCACUGCAACCUUGCUCUCCUGGGCUUUCCUCCUACCUCAGCCUCCCGAAUAGCUGAGACUACAGCAAAUGCCAACUGUGAGAAGGCAGUCUGAUAUCCUGGUGUAUCUUCUAUGUCAAUAAAAUGUUCCUCAUCAGGAA